rnacentral:sRNA from 1 species
GCCCAAAUUCGCACGUGCCCGUGGUCGUUCAUGGGGUGUCUCACAAGGCAUCUCUUAAGGGGCAGCAGCCAAUUCAACCGCCAAGGGGCGGGCUGCAGGUCCGGACGGCUUAAAGCAACGACGUAAGAGGGCUUUU